GCCUUCGUGGUGUAGUGGUCAGCACGCUGGAUGCGUAACCGAGAGGUCCGUGGUUCGAAUCCCGGCGAAGGCG
rfam:Stegodyphus mimosarum contig3785, whole genome shotgun sequence.